rnacentral:rRNA from 1 species
CAGCAGCCGCGGUAAUACGGAGGGAGCUAGCGUUGUUCGGAAUUACUGGGCGUAAAGCGCGCGUAGGCGGUUACUCAAGUCAGAGGUGAAAGCCCGGGGCUCAACCCCGGAACUGCCUUUGAAACUAGGUGACUAGAAUCUUGGAGAGGUCAGUGGAAUUCCGAGUGUAGAGGUGAAAUUCGUAGAUAUUCGGAAGAACACCAGUGGCGAAGGCGACUGACUGGACAAGUAUUGACGCUGAGGUGCGAAAGCGUGGGGAGCAAACAGGAUUAGAUACCCCUGUAGUCCCUGUCUCUUAUAA